rnacentral:rRNA from 1 species
GUACCGUAAGGAGCUGUGGAGUGUAUGGAAGAGAGAAUGCCGGAAUGAGUAGCGGGAUGGAGGUGGGAAUCCUCCAGGCCGAAUAUCCAAGGUUUCCAGAGUAAAGCUGAUCUGCUCUGGGUAAGUCGGGACCUAAGGCGAGGCCGAGAGGCGUAGCCGAUGGACAACAGGUUGAGAUUCCUGUACUGCUGUAUAUCAGAACUGUGGGGACACAGAGGGAAAGCACAGGCGCGGAACGGAAAGCCGCGUGCAAGCGAGGUACCGGACUGGUAGGAAAAACCGCCAGCCAACGGGAAGACGUGAUGCGGACCGAAAUUUAGUAGGGAAGUGUGUGGGCCAGCUGUCAAGAAAGGCCGCUAUUGUGUAUACAGUACCCGUACCGUAAACCGACACAGGUGGAUGAGGAGAGAAUCCUAAGGCCGGCGGAAGAAGUAUUGUCAAGGAACUCGGCAAAAUGACCCUGUAACUUCGGGAGAAAGGGUGCCUCGAAAGAGGCCGCAGAGAAUUGGCCCAAGCAACUGUUUAGCAAAAACACAGGUCUAUGCGAAACCGAAAGGUGAGGUAUAUGGGCUGACGCCUGCCCGGUGCUGGAAGGUUAAGGGGAGAUGUUAGAGCAAUCGAAGCAUCGAACUUAAGCCCCAGUAAACGGCGGCCGUAACGAUAACGGUCCUAAGGUAGCGAAAUUCCUUGUCGGGUAAGUUCCGACCCGCACGAAAGGCGUAAUGAUUUGGGCGCUGUCUCGACAAUACAUCCGGUGAAAUUGAAGUACCAGUGAAGAUGCUGGUUACCCGCGCCAGGACGGAAAGACCCCAUGGAGCUUUACUCCAGCUUGAUACUGGGAUUCGGUAUUGCAUGUACAGGAUAGGUGGGAGGCUAAGAAGCAUGGACGCCAGUCUAUGUGGAGCCGCUGUUGGGAUACCACCCUUGCGGUAUUGGAUUUCUAACCAGCCGCCGUGAAACCGGCGGUGGGACAAUGUCAGGCGGGGAGUUUGACUGGGGCGGUCGCCUCCGAAAGGGUAUCGGAGGCGCCCAAAGGUUCCCUCAGAAUGGUUGGAAACCAUUCGAAGAGUGCAAAGGCAGAAGGGAGCUUGACUGUGACACCGACGGGUGGAGCAGGUACGAAAGUAGGGCUUAGUGAUCCGGUGGUAUUAAGUGGGAAUGCCAUCGCUCAACGGAUAAAAGCUACCCUGGGAUAACAGGCUUAUCACUCCCAAGAGUUCACAUCGACGGAGUGGUUUGGCACCUCGAUGUCGGCUCAUCGCAUCCUGGGGCUGUAGUAGGUCCCAAGGGUCGGGCUGUUCGCCCAUUAAAGCGGUACGCGAGCUGGGUUCAGAACGUCGUGAGACAGUUCGGUCCCUAUCCGGCGUGGGCGCAGGAUAUUUGAGAGGAGCUGUCCUUAGUACGAGAGGACCGGGAUGGACUGACCUCUGGUGCACCGGUUGUUCCGCCAGGAGCAUAGCCGGGUAGCCAAGUCGGGAAGGGAUAAACGCUGAAGGCAUCUAAGCGUGAAGCCCCCCUCAAGAUGAGAUAUCCCAUGCGAAAGCGAUAAGACCCCUUGAAGACGACGAGGUAGAUAGGUCAGAGGUGGAAGUGCAGUAAUGCAUGGAGCUGACUGAUACUAAUAGGUCGAAGGCUUAACC